AAGAGGACCAAGAGGAUGUUGUGGAGGCAUCAUUAGUGCGAACGACGAUCGAUGGAUCUCGAGACAGAAGCCAACAAAGCUGGUACUGACGAGGGCAUGCAGGUUUGUUUAUGGUGGUCAAGCGCAGUUUUUUAAUGGUGAGACCCGUUCGGAACCAAGGCAUUGAAACAAUGGUGUUGCUGAUAGUGUUGGUGAGAAUUGCGACGCCUCACAGUUCCUAGCGGGAUGGCAUCGACC